UACGUAGGGUGCAAGCGUUGUCCGGAAUUAUUGGGCGUAAAGAGCUCGUAGGCGGUUUGUCGCGUCUGCUGUGAAAACCUAAGGCUCAACCUCGGGCCUGCAGUGGGUACGGGCAGACUAGAGUGCGGUAGGGGAGAUUGGAAUUCCUGGUGUAGCGGUGGAAUGCGCAGAUAUCAGGAGGAACACCAAUGGCGAAGGCAGAUCUCUGGGCCGUAACUGACGCUGAGGAGCGAAAGCAUGGGGAGCGAACAGG
rnacentral:rRNA from 1 species